UCUGGAUUGUGUCUCUACUCUUCUUUUAGGGUUUAGGUUUAUAGUUGCUCGGGAUUCUUUACUGAAGAGAAUGGUACCUUUUAGGCCUAUGGUAUUGCUGUUUUUAUUUGCGCUUAUCGAAUAAUUAUUUUCUAGCUAAAGAUCGCAGUGAUGACUCAUAAAUUUCAAGCUCAACAGACCGGAAUGCAGGGUUUUCUUCUUAGAUAACUUUGCGUGUCGAUCACCCCGCUGAACUGAGCGAUCUCUCUCUUCUUCUCGCUGUGGAAUAAGUUUUUUUUUUUAUUUUUUUGUUUUUUUGGUGAGAAAUCUGAAGAAGAUCUUGAAUCUAGCGGUUGUUGGUUCAAGUCUUUUUGAGGAACGCGGGAGGCAACAAGAGAAAUUUGUUUAAACCCUAAGAUCUAUUUGUUUUUUUUUUUUUUGUUAGUUUUCUGCUGAUGCAUGUCAAGAUUUUAUCACGGGAUUAAGCCUGUUUUAAGUUUGUUUUUGUGGGAAUUUAGAGGUUACGAUGAGGAUUUUCAGCUCCCUCUUCCGAAGUUUAGUUGAAGAAAUUGGCUGGCAGAAUCGAACCUAAAACUUAAUCGCCACCACUGAGUAAUCUCUAUUCCCACUCCAAUUCAAAAAUUAGCAUUUAAUUAAACUAAUCUGUUUUCUUUUUUGUGUAGUAGUUCCAACGAUCUCGUUUUUCAAAUGAGCUACUUUUGGUUUCAAUUAAAUUUGCACUUCGUAGGUGAGGAUGAAGCACUAAUUAUCACAAUCCAACACUUGAUCUGAGAUAUUCGUGUGUUUAGUGAUGCGAAGAUGAUUGCUUCUGAAUCUGCGACUUCCUCCAAAAUGUUUAUGCUUUUGUUUUCUCAUUAUCAAAUUCAAUUUCUAUGGUAUUGAUUGUUCUAAUUUUAUUAUACCUGAGGCGAUGUAUCCUAAAUCGAUUCAAGUAUUAUUAAUUGGGUAAUCAAAAUUGAUGAUCCAUGAAUAAUGACGAGUUUAUCAAUUUGCUUGAUUCGCAAUUUUAACCAAGAAUUUAGUUAGGGUUCUUCCUUACGUGAAAGAAAUCUGUAAGUUGAAUGAAAUUGUUUAACAUUAUGAUCAUCAAAUGAUGAAAUUUGGAAUCUUAGGACACCUUCCUACAUAGCUUCUGAGGCUAUGGAUGAGAAUAAUAUUUCCAUUACAAUUUCUGAUGAUGAUAAGGGAUAAUAUUAUCCACAUUGGCUAGUAAGAUUAUAAUUGGAAAUAAAUGGUUUUCUGCGUCCUUCAAUUUGAUGAUAGGCAUAAGGGGUUCGUUCAGCUUUCACUUUGUUGCCACUUUUUUAUUUUCUGGACAGGCGAAGUUAACUUGCAUACACGAGUAGGAGUCAGGAAUGGCAAUCCGGGCUAUGACCGGGAAGCUCAUUUGUUUUGUUGCCUGACAUGUACCGGGUCGGUUAAUUAACUCUGCUCGGGACUUACUUGAGCCAGCUCUGUGAUUUCCCGUUCGAGGUUUGAAUCUUGUCCAUAUUUUGCUGGGCCUGUGGACUAGGGCUGAUCACUGUAGUUGUUUUCCCUGCUGGGCCCGAGUCUACCACUCUACUCUUCUGAUUCGAGCCCAGCAUAACUGGUGAUGACUUGCAGGGCAUAGAGGUGUUUAUAUAGUCUCGUAACAUAACAGGGCGAGCUGGUUCAAACCGUCAGGCUUUGCCUGGUUCGAACCGGAUUACAAGAGAUUUCCGGCUGGCCAACCUCCAAUGGAAAAAAUGAACGGGUCGGACCUGUUCAUGAAAACUAAUUGUUAUGUUGUAAAUCCAGAAGACUGGUCCCUGUAUCUUUGGUGAUAAUUGUUUUCUGGUUCGCAGUAUUAGCGUGUAAAAAAGACGAGAGGGGGGGAUAUUCUCUCGGAAAGCAAACACGCUUUGUAAAAUUCUCUAAGACGAAAAAGAUGUACUUUCUUCAGGUAUGGUAUUAUUUUAUCACAAAA